rnacentral:lncRNA from 1 species
AGUCGGCUCCGCUGCUUGGAGCGGGGGGGGCGCGCGAGCUGGGCGCUUUCCCGGCCUUUGGCGCUGAGGUGACAGAGCUUCCAAAAUACAAUAGAAGUAGAUCAAAAAGCAAAUGGGAACUCUGCUUUCUUUAUGAACUGAUGAGGAAAGACUUUAAGAGAAAAAGAGGAGGCAGCACAUCUUAGGAUUUGAAUCAGACAACUGCAACAGCAAGUUUGACCGAAGGUGAGUGAAGAAACGUGUUAAAGGGAAUGAUCACAACUUUUAGUUGGCUCUGAUGUUGUCUUUGACUGAUGCUGAAGGAAAGAUUUGGAAAAAGGAACAUGACUGAUUUGAAGCCUGGUUAGUGUUUAUAUAUUCUGUUCAAGCUUUACCAUGCCCAUGUCCUCUGUGGUUUCCUUCAGGGAGAACAUUUUGUAAGCUCAUCUUUUCUGGUGUCCCUGCUGAUCAGGCACAUUUGUUCUUUGUGAAGCCGUGAAACUGAAGAAAAGGAAACCUUCAGCAUUAGACAGGAG